rnacentral:rRNA from 1 species
GACGAACGCUGGCGGCGUGCCUAACACAUGCAAGUCGAGCGACUGCAUUCUUUUCGGAGGGUGUAUGGAGCGGCGAACGGGUGAGUAACACGUGAGUAAUCUGCCUUUGGCUUGGGAAUAACUUCGGGAAAUCGGGGCUAAUGCCUGAUGUUUACUGUCUGCUGCAUGGUGGGUGGUGGAAAGAUUUUUUGGCCAGGGAGUGAGCUCGCGGUCUAUCAGCUGUUGGUGGGGUAAUGGCUUACCAAGGCUUUGACGGGUAGCCGGCCUGAGAGGGCGACCGGCCACACUGGGACUGAGACACGGCCCAGACUCCUACGGGAGGCAGCAGUGGGGAAUCUUGCGCAAUGGGCGAAAGCCUGACGCAGCGACGCCGCGUGAGGG